UUCGAAGAACAGAAACGCAAUCUCAGAGGGAUCCAUAGAAGCGGGCUAGGGUUUCCUUACCAACGAAAGGGGAAAUCAAUCCAGGUCCAGAUGGAUCUCCACUCCACGCCGGGCCACUCGAAGCGGAGGAUGUGGAUGAGGAGGCACGCCGCGAGCUUCGCUUUGGCGGAAGGAGGCGGUCGGGUCGUCAGGGGAAAGGGGAAAUGAAGGGCAAAAGGCGGUGGCAGCGUGUGGGUCUGUCUGGCCUAAUUCCAACCCGU
rnacentral:lncRNA from 1 species